AAAAAAAAAAAAAGGUGAGGAAACAAGAGAACUGGAAGUGAACGAGGUGAUUCUUUGUUUCUCUCUUUCUUUGUUUCUCUCUCUCUCUCUCUUGGUCUUUUGUUUUCUCUUCUUCUAAU
rnacentral:ribozyme from 1 species